rnacentral:rRNA from 1 species
AAUUUUAACGGCCGCGGUACCCUCUCCCGUGCGAAGGUAGCAUAAUCACUUGUUCUUUAAAUGAGGACUACUAUCAACGGCAUCACGAGGAUUUUACUGUCUCCUUUUUCCUAUCGGUGAAACUGAUCUCCCCGUGAAGAAGCGGGGAUAAUAUUAUAAGACGAGAAGACCCCAUGGAGCUUUAAACCCAGUAACACCUCAAACACACCCCCUCCCAAAAAGUUUUAAUGUUCUGUUCACUGGUUUUAGGUUGGGGCGACCGCGGAGUACAACUUAACCUCCACAGCGCACGGAACUUAUUCCUUACCUGAGAGCUACACCUCAAAGAAUUAUCACAUUAACGUAAANUGAUCCAAUAUUUUCCUUAUUGAUUAAUGAACCAAGGUUACCCUGGGGAUUACAGCGCAAUCCAUUUCUAGAGCCCCUAUCGACAAAUGGGUUUCCACCCCCGAUGUUGGAUCAGGGUAUCCCCAUGGAGCAGCCGCUACUAAUGGUUUGUUGGUUCAACAAUUAAACCCUACGUGACCUGGUUCAACCC